UACGUAGGGUGCAAGCGUUGUUCGGAAUCACUGGGCGUAAAGGGCGCGUAGGCGGCGCCGCAAGUCGGCUCGUGAAAAGCCCGGGGCUCAACCCCGGAGGUGCGGCCGGGACUGCGGUGCUGGAGGCCGGAAGAGGAGGGUGGAAUACCCAGUGUAGAGGUGAAAUUCGUAGAUAUUGGGUGGAACACCGGUGGCGAAAGCGGCUCUCUGGUCCGGACCUGACGCUGAGGCGCGAAAGCGUGGGGAGCGAACAGG
rnacentral:rRNA from 1 species